rnacentral:lncRNA from 1 species
AGAUUUAAAAAAGAUAUUGUGACAGAUAUUUAAAAAAGAUCGAGACUUUAAAGUUUGACGUUUUUUUAAUUAAUAUAGGAGGUUUUAGUUUUUUCUUUUUUAUUUAUUAAAAGGUCGGUAAUAGUUUGAGAAUUCUAAAUUGAACUUUUCUCUUACUACGUGAGACAUUUCAUUUGAUUUCUCCCACAUGUUCCCCCAAUUA